GUCCCUGUAACGCAAUCGAUAGCGCGUUGGACAUCAAAUCCAAAGGUCGUGGGUUCGAAUUCCACCUGAGAUA
rnacentral:tRNA from 1 species